GAUGAACGCUGGCGGCGUGCUUAACACAUGCAAGUCGAACGAGAAGUGAAGACGGAAACCUUCGGGCGGAAGGCUUUAUUUCGAGUGGCGGACGGGUGAGUAACGCGUGGGUAACCUGCCUCAUACAGGGGGAUAACAGUUGGAAACGACUGUUAAUACCGCAUAAGACCACAGCACCGCAUGGUGCGGGGGUAAAAACACCGGUGGUAUGAGAUGGACCCGCGUUCGAUUAGCCAGUUGGCGGGGUAACGGCCCACCAAAGCGACGAUCGAUAGCCGAUCUGAGAGGAUGACCGGCCACAUUGGGACUGAGACACGGCCCAAACUCCUACGGGAGGCAGCAGUGGGGAAUAUUGCACAAUGGGGGAAACCCUGAUGCAGCGACGCCGCGUGAGUGAAGAAGUAUUUCGGUAUGUAAAGCUCUAUCAGCAGGGAAGAAAAUGACGGUACCUGAGUAAGAAGCCCCGGCUAACUACGUG
rnacentral:rRNA from 1 species